AUGAUCACAGGCCAGGCAGCAGCUCCCCCUUAGCUGAGCCCCUUUCCUAUCCCAACCAAAACAAUGCAACGGCCCCACUGCGGAUAUCCCUAGCCUGGGCAGGACGCAGCCCUCAGCUGGCUCUGGUAAAGAGGAGCGAGCACAGGGGUCCCCCAGACCGGCUCGGUACUCAGAACCCUGCAGGGACCAGCUCGGAAGCGCCUUUGCCUUGGGACCCGUGUACAAACCCCGCUGCCGCUGCUGCUCCCGUCUCCCUCCUCUCAGCCUCCUACGCUCCCUCUAUGUCACUGCCUCUCUCUGGGAAAAUGGCGUCCUCCGCUCUCCCCUCCCUCCCACUGCACGGGGCUCACCCGUCCCGCCCGGCAGGGGCAAGGUUACCAGGGCGAAGCCAAACGGCCGCCAUUUUGCUUGUGGGCUGGAGCGCAGUCUGUGUCCGUUAAGUCCUCCCUCGUGCCAUCUCCAUUUAACAAAGGGGGUUUCCUCACGAUAUUAAAUUGUUCGACGGCCGGGGCCAGGGAGCGCGACCCCGAUCGAAAAAUGCUAGAAAGGGGCAGCCUAGGGAACGGCAAGGGCGAGAGAACUGUGUCUGGGUGGAGGCUCGGGGCGAUCGUGCACCGCAGUCCACUGGCGGUGGAGGGGCUCGGGCCCUAAAUGAUGCUGCGGAGGACCUAAAGCGCGGAGCGAGACCUUGUCUUCCGCAGGGACGCAGACACCGAAACCUGUCUUCAGCCUACCACCUGCGCCAGCCUACCCUCUGACCUCUUGUGAGCCUGGGCCAGCCCUCCUGACACACAGACUGGGGGAGGCGGCCAGACCGAGGCAAUCUCCCCCAGGCAGAGUGAGAGGCGGGAUAAGAGACUGAAGCCCAUUUGGUGAACGAUGGAGGGUUGCUGGCUGAGGGGAUCUCCCCCUCCAGUUAGUGGAGACCUGAGGCAGGUCCGGCUGAGGAAGUCUCUCCACAAGUAACUGAAGUUUAGCCCAGGCCUGCCUCGGGGAACCUCCUCCUCCAAGGAACGAGACUGGGGCACUAGGGUCAGCUCUGCCUGCCAGGCUCCCCUUUAGCGAAUGACACUUGUGGGGGCAGGUCUGGGGCAGCCCCGAUGUGGACUCGCCACGGGCAGAGCAAGAGGGCGCUUGGUUGGGCUGCUCGCUCGGGUUCUGCCUGUUGUUGCGCGAAAUGGCGGCUGCUAUCUUGGUGGGUUUGGUUUUGUUGUUGUUUUUUUUCCCUUCUUUCCCCUCCCCCACCUCUGCCUUGGCCACUUCUCCGCAGCGAACCGCGGUGAGGACUGAGUCAGGAGGGAGAGGAGGGGGGAGCGGACCGCAUUGAAGCCAAUCGCCAGGCUGGCUCGGCUGCCCAGGCGCGCCCGGAUUGGCUGCUGCUGACAUCAUCUUGCAGCAGGGGCAGCCGCAGCUGGGCAGGGCUGAGGAGCUGUCGGGGGAGGCUGGUGCAAAGGGAGAAAACGGGCGCCAUGAUCCCGGCGCUGGGGAGUCCGUGAGGGCUCGGAGACUGAGGCAAGCUCAUGGGAAGGGAACGAGAAGGCCUUGACAACCAUCACCCAAGCGGUGCCGAGACCGAGGAGAUAAGCGGGGGGAGCGGGCCAAGCUGUGCCUGUAUUUGUAACUGCGUCAGUACAAGAUGGCGUAGGGUCUCCCUGGAGAGGGACGGGAGCUGCACGUCCGCCGGAGGUCAUGUGACCGCGUUGCAUUCUUGUGGGGUUGUUUGGCUGCAGACCAAGUUGGCGGAGACGGCGGCUGCUGCUGGGGAGAGUCCGCGCUUCCUUCCCCGCCCCAUCAUCCCCGCCCCAGGCUGGAGAGUCUGGGUGGAUUUUUAUUUCCCUUCCCUAUUACCCGUCUGUAGAAGGGUGUAGCUGGUGCUGCUGAAGAAAGUUCUCGCUUCUUGUCCUAUUCUCCACCCCCAGGAUGUGGCAGCUCCUUCUGGGGGAAGUUUAUUCCUCCUCCACUUCUUCUCUGCAUUGAGCUUGGCUGCUGCAGAGGAAAGUUCUCGUUCUUCCUGUCCCAGCCCUCUUUCCAUGAGGGUAUGGGGGUGGAGAGUAAUGUUUUUCACAACUCCCGGACAAGGUUGUAAGGUGUCUGAUUGCUGUUAUCUAAAUUAGGUCACAUUUGCGAUCCACUUUGGGUGACUAAAAUGCCUGACUCUCCUUAUUUCACUUGUAAGAGCAACUCCUUCUUUGUUGGUUAGAUAACCUGUGGUAGUGCUUGGUGGUGUCUCCAUCUUAGUGAGACACUUAACUAUCCUAGUCCCCUCUGCACAGUUUGCAAAUAUGCUCCUUUUUGUGAGCUGCUGUGUGCUCCCUCUCAACAUUGGACUGACUUGCAGAGGUGGCUUACUAAGGAAGAAUGAUGAAGGUCCUUCAUAGGAUUGACCAGUCAUAAAAGUUGACUAAUAUUUUUUUGGGGUGUUACUAGCUUUUCCUUUGGAACAGCCUCUCUCACUCAGAGAACAUGAUGCAGUUAAAUAACAGGUAGUUCAGACUACAGGUAUAGAGAAAAUCUGAUUUGAAGUAUUGCAAUUGCACCAAUGUAUUAAAUCUUGGAUUUGCGUGCGCAUAUAUAUUUAAUGAAUAGUUAUGUAAUCCUGGUAGUCUUCUAAAGAUGCCAUACUUAAAACUAGACUGAACAAAAAAUUAGCAAAUUUAAAACUAGUCCCUCUAUGGAGAAAGCAUAGACUCCUCUAAUGUGUUAUCCCUCUUAAAUUGUUCACUUAUAUUCUGUUUGCAUCUACCUCUCUUUCCAGACAGUAGUGAGCAAGGAAGGGGAGCUUAAAUAUGCAUUGUCUGAUGUCUUAUCCUGGAGGUUGUGUACUGUUGCAUUAAAAAUACUACAAAUAUUUGCUACCAACUUACACAAAUCAAGACUUAUCUGUAAGUCACAUGGGUGGGUUGGAGUCUAGUUACAUAACUAAAUGUGGUCCCAGUUACAGCCUCUUAGCCUGACAUAUAGCCCUGGAGUGACUGGCAUCUAUGCUACUUUGAGAGGUAGUCUGAGUACUCUUGCAUAGUUGCAAAUAACUUCACUAAGGGAGAAGGGCCUCCUUUCUAUCCAACAUCAAAUAGUGUUCUCCUUUUUUAUUUUAAUUUCCUACAUGUAAUUCAAGACAAAUGCAGAGAUUAGACGCUGAAAUAUAGAUGGCUAACUUAAUUAUUUGAGGCUCAAAGGUUUAAGAACUUGGACUGUCCAACUUACUUCAUUGUUAAGACCGCAUCUCGGGGAUUAACUUCUGUAUUCAGUGUUCUUUAUGAAAAGAUGCAGUAAGUUUGAGAGGCUUUUUUUAAGGAGCAUGUCAGCUGAAUUUCUGGCAAUGAGACUGAUUGAAGGAAAUGAUCUUAUUUUUUUAAUAUAUUACACACACAAAAUAUUUUGUUCUAGAAACGUGUGAUUACAUUUACAAAAACAUACUUGCUUAAUUUAGAUACUUGAAGCUAGUGGAGUUGUUGAUCUAUCUGGAUCUGCAAAGAUUUGUUCCAGAAUCUCCACCACUUUACUAUUCCUCUGUCCCUGCCACUACAGUAGCAGAGAAUGCCUGUGCUGUUCUUAACCACAGUGCAUAUCUUACAUUGUCAUAGGAGCACAGUGAAAACAAAUAUACAUACUUCUAUUUGAUUGUGGUGCUUUGGUAUGUAUGCCACAAGAGCUGUAUAGAGCCCAUAUGAGCAACCUUGGCACAAACUAGGAGGGGAGGGAAAGCAGAAAAGUAACGAGGCACAAGCAGAGCCUUACAAAAAGGGGCAACAGGGCAGAGGAAAAGAGGGCCAGAUAAAGGUAUUUGCUCUCUUUAACAGUAGAGACUAUCCCGUUUAGACUAAACUCACCUCCGCUACUGCUUGAGCUACUGCGGUACACCUCCAGUACUGCUUGAGUCAGUCUAACUUGCAUUGCUCAGGAGUGGAAAAAGCUCUCUUCGCCCCCAGAAAUGGGACUUUUGCACUGUCCACACCAGCUGUUAUUGCAGCUUCCACUUCUUGCCAAGGUUGCCAUGUUAUGCCAACAGGAGAGCACUCUCCUGUCAGCAUAACAUAUCUUUAUCAGACGUGCUACAAUGGCACAGCUGCAUCAGUGUAGUGUAGAGUUGCCCUCAGUCCCCUUAACUUGGAAUUGUACCUCUUCUUUAAUGUGAAGUGACUGAAUACAAAACUUUAUUUGGUUAAUGAGGUGCACUUAGAACUAGCUGGUGCCCCUUGGAUUUCAUGCUGGAGCUGAGGGUUCUGCUGCAUGUAGACCUAUCCCAUUCUGUUAUGAUAGGCAGCGUUGCCUGCACAGCACUGCUUCCUUUUCUCCAUCCAGCCCAGAGGGGUAGGGGGGGAAAGAUGAGGGUAUGACAGACAUAAGGGUCCACUAACUUUUCUGUAUUAUAUAGCAUAGAGUCCUCGGGGCACUGUUGGCUCGGGAAACUUUAGUGGUACAGUGCCUCUGGAGUAAUGGUGACUUGGAUGGAGUGGUCUCUAGAACUUGAGAGGGGGGUAGAGGGGAGGGAGAGUAGAAAAUGAAGGCUUAAAUGCUCAAAAAAUUAAAAUACUCUUCUGAGUUGAGCAUUUGUUAACAUUUUUAGUUUAAUAUAGGUCAUAGCUUAGAUGUAGUAGCCUUAUUAAAAAUAGCAAUUUUAUAGUGUGGCUUUGUAUUAUAGAAACCUGUUGAUUAACUGUAGACUAAACUGAGUACAACUUCUUAACAAAAAAUGGAAGAACCAGGCUAAUGGAGGAAUGGGUUGUUGUGGUAGUAUUUUGCUUUGAAACUGGAUGGUUAAGUUACACUGCAAGCCAGUAGUGAAUAAAAUUGAAUUUUGGGGAUUACCUGAACCUGCUGAAGUGAGGGGCAGCUAGCUAUUUGACUCUUCAAAACUGAAAGACGAAUAGUAAAAACCCAGAGGGGAAAGAUAAUCUGAUACUUUGCUUUCUCAGAUCUCUGAAUAAGAUCCAUUAUUUCCCCCACAGGUGUCUUAAAGACAUGGUAGGUAGAGGUGACCUGUUUCAGAGAUAACUGCAACAACUGGAUUUGUGAGCCUUCUGUCCAGAGUUGAAGUACCACUUAACUGUAAUUGUUCCUCUUGUGUGUUUCUGCCAUUAGGCAAGAUACUAGAAUGUUCCAUUGGAGGUAUCUGGGAUUGGGUUAGAAAGAUGUUGCUUAUGUUGGUGUGAGCAUUUUGUCUGAGUUUAAAGACCUGCUAUUGAGGUUCUGACUCAUGUGAUUGACACCUGGGAUACACUGGGCCCCAGGAAGAUUUUUGGCAUAUGCUCAAGCCUAAUCUCAUUGCAAUAGCAGGUUUUCUUGUGUUUAUUGAGAGCAAAACAGCUUCAGUGAUACAGUUUAGCAGCUUCAACCUAUUAGCUGCAGAAGAGACUAGGAAAGUUUAAUAUGUUGUCUUACUGUAGUUUUAUCCAGUCUGACCUGCUCAAAGGUGCAUCCCUAACUCCUGCAAUAACUCUUCUUCAGCAUGAUUUAUUUCUUAAGUUUACACCAGGGUUCCAUGUAUAAUGGACUAAGUUUCUGUGUAAGAAAUCUGCCUAUUGUUAGCUUGCUACAUAAAACAAAACAUUGUUGCCCCCUGCUCUUGUGCAUCUAUACGUGACACUUCUUCCCCUCCCCCUUUUUGACUUCCACAAAGAGUUCAGUGAAUUUCUUGUGCCUGUUCCCAUGAUGCUGCCCUUAAUGGAGGGAGACCCUUCUAGAAUAGAGACAGCAUGAACCAUGAUACUGCAAAACAGCCUUAAGAGAAGUAUGUGGUGGGGCAUCUCAGAAUUCUAGGUAUGGGCUAAGUAAGGAGAGACUUGAGCAAAAGGUUGUAAACUGCUCCCAGAUCUCAACUAGCUCUAGCGUUCUGCAGGAGAUAGUCAGCCACUGGUGUGCAGGGGGUUCAGUAUAGUUUUGGAGUUGGGGAGGCUUGCAUAAGGUAAUGACAGAGCUUCUCUGCCCUACUAAAGCUGUUUGCACGUGUCUCUCCUUUAUCGUAUGUGCAUAACCAAAACCAAUAUUGGUAGAAAAUCCAAACAUUUGCCCAUUUUAGAAGUUUUUUGCCAGGUGUCAAUGCUUAAGUUAUAAUGUGAACAUACCAUAAUUUAUGGCAGGGGUGGGAAAACCUUUUGGGCUGAGGACCAUAUCUGGGUGGAGAAAUUGUAUGCAGGGUUGGGGUGUGGGAGGGAGUGCAAGGUGUGGUGUGUAGGAACAGGCUCAGGGCAAGGUAUUGGGGUAGAGAAGGGGUGUGGACUGCAGGAGGGAGCACAGGGUUGGGGUGCGAGAUGCAGGAGGGGUUCAGGGUCUGGCCCAGUGCCGCUUACCUAAAGUGGGUCUGGGGUGGCAGCAGCAUGCACCGGGGCCAGGGCAGGCUCUCUGUAUGCCUGCCCUGGCCCCACGCUGCACUGCUCCAGGAAGCAGCCAGCACCAUGUCCCUGUGCGGCCCCUGGGGGAGGGGGGGCGGGCCACAGGGUUCCAUGUGCUGCCCUUGCCAUGCCUCCAGGUACCUCCCCCCAAGCUCCCAUUGGCCGCAGAUCCCCAUUCCCAGCCAAUGGGAGCUGUGGGGGGGCAGUGCCUGGAGGCAAGGGCAACACACAGGGCCUUCUGCGCUGCCUCUCCUCUUCUCCCCCCCACCCCCCCACAGGAAUGUGGUGCUGGCUGCUUCUGAGAGUAGCGCAGGGCCUACAGCACCACAGGGAGCAAGUCCUGCAGCCUGGAUCCGGCCCGCAGGCCAUCAUUUACCCACCCCUGAUUUAUGGUGUGUGAAGAAUAUUUUAUUUUAGAAACUUCAGUAAAAGAGUAACUUACGUUAAUCUAACUUAACAGCGGAUAAAAUUUGUCAAUUUGUGUGGUUCUAAUGCAUCCCCUGUUGAAAGGGGCCUGGGUUCAUAUUUUGUGUUAAGAAGGAAAUGUAAAUGGCUGUUCAGGUAUUAAAUGAAAACUUUUUUGUGUUCUCAAGCCCUGGGUGCUGAAAACGGUCUCUGAACUAGGAUGAAUAGCAGAGCAGCCAUCAGUAGAUCAAAAUCCUGAUGCAUGCUAGUGUGUCAAGGAUUUUUGAUCCUAAACAUGACAACUCAUUCAUUUGACUGGUAGAUACCCCUCUUCUCCCCCCCCCCGCCCCCACUGUCUCACUUUGAGACAAUUUUGUUUUUCCUUCCACCUUACUAUAGGGCUGCAGUCUAAUUCUGGGCUCUCAAGUCAGAGCUUUUUGCCUAUUCCUCCAAAAAGGAGCUAUGGCCCAAAUUAAGGACAGCUGUACAGCUUUCAUUUGGUUUAGCUAGUAGUGUCUAGGCAAGACACUUUCACUCUCACAGAUCAUCUAAAGGCAAGGAACCAAGCUUCUAGGCCCUCUCUCAAACUAGAGAACUAUCGUGUUUUAAACUGUUACAUACUGAACUAUAGGAGCCAUACUGACUUGUGUUCUGAGCCAGACCUACUUUACCAGUGUCUACAUAAGCACGGUUCUAAACAAUUUCUGGCACACUGUAACUAGGACUUUACCAUACUAAACUGAUCAGGCUCUUAAGGUUUAUUUGUAUGGGGCCAUGCAAUUGAUUUGCCUUCACUUUCCUGAAGGUGUGAAGUCAGCACAUAAAUUAAAGGAUGUUAAAGCUGUGUAUGGUCUCAGUAGUAAAGUGUCCUGAACUAAAACUACUUUAUUCCUGAGUGAGAGAUCCACUCAAGGGUUUUAACACCUUUUAAUAUAUGUGUAUUAACUUCAUACCUUCAGUUGACUUGCCUUAUUGUAGACAGGGCCUUAGGCUUAGUCUAUACUAGCCCUUUUGCCAGUAGGGGGUGAAGAAAAAACACCCCUGAUCAACAUAAGUUUCACUGACAAAAGUGCCAGUGUGAACAGUGAGUGCUAUGUCAGCAGGAGACAUAGCUACCAUCGCGUGUUGGGGGUGGAUUUAAUUAUGCCAGCAGGAGAGCUCUCUCCAGCAGCAUAGCACAGCUACAUGGGAGACCUUACAGCAGCACAGCUGUAGCAGUACCGAUGUGCCUCUGUAAGGUCUCCAGUGUAGAGACCGCCUUAGAGGGGUAACUUAUUACUAUUUUAACUAGGUUUAUUUGCCACUUAAUCUUCUCAUUAAAUCUCAAAUCAAUUAUUUUGGUGAAAGUUUUUUCACUUCCAAAAGAUAAUUUUGUUUCACUAAUACGUACUAUUUGCAUUUGUAGUUCAACUUUAAAACUACUUUUCAGUGGUUACCAUUCCAGAGUGACAUGCUGGAACAAAUUCACAUGCAUAUAAAGGCAUAGCCUACAGUUGUUUUUAGGCUCUAUUUUUAAACUUGUUCUAAUAGGUUGAGCAAUGUUAACAAGUUGUAUUCCACAGUCCUGUUGGUUGAAGGAAAAAACCACACUUCAUGUAGGAGCCAGACUGUCUGGAUUCAGCCAGCUAGCUAGCCACUCUAUUUUCUUAAUCUCUAGUGCUGGGACUACUGAUCCUUGUCCUCAAAGACAACAACUAGAAGAGCUAUGUUGAUUUCUGGUACAGAAGGGGAGAAAAUGACUGGAUAGAUAGUUUUCAGAGUAGCGGCCAGUUUGUCUGUAUCCACAAAAAGAAAAGGAGUACUUGUGGCACCUUAGAGACUAACAAAUAGUGUUGUCUUUUACCAGUCAAGUGACUAAAACUUUAUCCUAAAGGAGUAACCCUCUUCCUUUUUUUUUUAAUUGGGAAAAAAAAAAGAGAAGAAAAACCAUCUAACUGCUGUGUGCAAAGUGCCAAAUCUCACAUUUAGGUAUAACUAGUUCUGUUAUAAAAGCAAGGGAAAUUCCUUUGUUUAGCGUGCGUGCUCAUUUGUGUCUCAUCCACUGCUUCUAAUGUCAUGGAUCUGAGCUUUAUAAAAAAUGACACCUUUCAUCCUAAUGAGCCUUAAAGCACUCCAUUUUACUAAAAUGCAGUAGCUAUUAAUGCACAGCAUGAUUACACCACUGUAAACGUAACUGAAGACUGUUAAUGAAGGCUACCUAAUAGAAACUUCAGUGGGAGUCUAAAUGGACAGAAGGCAAACGUACAUACUGAUUCCUGUCCAGAUAAAACUUUUUUUAUGGUUAAAAAAAUAAAAAUGCAUAGGAUUGAUAUAGGUGGUUAAGACUUUGGUUUAGUGUCUAACCUGAAUAUGGACCCUAGAGUACAGUAUAACCUCUGUCACCAUUAAUUCAGAGUAGAAAGACUUCUUCUGAUGUGCUGUUCAACCUUGCCCUAGGCCUAGCUGCUGAGAUCUGACUGAACCUCAUCACAAGGGGAGCUGGUGACUGAUCUCUAGAUAAUGUGUUCUGGAGUUUGUGGUAAGAGGUUUCUGUUAGGCUUCUGUAAAGUGAGCAGAAAAAACUGACUGAUAGCCAUGCCACUUAAAUGUGAAGAGGUUCAGGUCUGCUUAAGUUCUUCUUAUAAGGACAUUCUGAAACUGCUGAAUAUGAAUACAGUAUAUAAAAUUAACAUGCUGACAAUUCUCAAGUGAACCUAUCCAGUCCCCCACCACUCUUAAUUCAUCCAUCCCCUUAUUCAGGUUUAAAAAUUUAAAUGAAAAGAAAAGCUUCAUUUUUUAACUACACCCAAGACAUUAACUCAGGCUUUGCCAUAGUGAUAAGGAAAAUAAAUCCUAAAAUUAAAGGUCUAGCCUGGAGAAUAUUCAGCCUCCAUGUGCUCUAUUCCAGUGCAGGGUGUGUUACCAUAGUCCUGAAGAUGCCCUAGGUUUACGCUAGGUGCUGUACAAAUAUAGAUAGACCUUGCUUCUACUUCCAUUUCAAUUGCACAACUCUUCCUUUAUUUUAAUGUUAGCUAUUGGUACAGACGAGCAGCUGCUACCUAACUCAUGUAAGCCAAAUGUUAGUGCUUACACGGGGAAACUUGCUAUUGGGCCUGCUGUAGCUGUUGUUGGCAAACUAAAGUGAGGACAGGGGAUUUGGGGGAAAAACAAAGUAUUUGUAUAGACUAUAUAUAAAGACUUUUUAAACAAUUCAUAAACUUCAACUCUAAAAGUAUAGACAAAUAAGAUACAUUGAACUCCAAUGUGUUUGGUUAUGCGAACAAUAUAUUUAAAAUAUCAAACCUUUUAUGAAUGAGUUUUUUCCUUUUGUCUUCUUUCUAGCUUCUCUGAUGGAGACCAUCAGAGCCAAACUGUUCAUGACUCCAUAAUUUUGAAUGGAUUACUUCUGUUAGUGGUUACAAAAUAACUUUUUUUUUUUUCAAAUUGCAAUCCAUAUUUCUUAAAAUAUUUAGCUCUUAUGUAAAAAGUAGGGAAAGGGACUUACGAUGCUAACACGUCCCCUUUUUCAGAUCUGCUUUCACAUGUUCCAGUGUAUAAAGUUAAGGAUUUUUAGUAGGUUACUAGCUCCUUAAAUAACAGGAAGCAUGUGGCUUCUUGUAAGAAUUUUUUUCUAUAGUGAAAGGUUAAGCACCAAUUAUACAGACAUGGUAGCUACUGCAAGGAAACUUGCAUCCUGUUUACAAUAGCAAGUAUAUCUAAACCUGUUCAGUGAACAUUUGUCACAUGUUUGCAACAAGCUAUUUCUAAAAACUUUUCAGAUAUUUUAAUAUCACAUCUGUUCAGUGUUUGCCUUACUGUAAUAUCUGAAACCUUUAAAGGAUGGCAAUACUACACAACAGCAGU